CUGUGGGGUUUAUCUCUGGGUGAGUGAGCUCAUCCCUCCUGACCCAAGGCAGCCUGACCAAGGGUGUGUGUCACCAGAGUCUGACAGUCUAUUGGACUAGCUUUCAACAGUAACACCAGGUAGCAGAAAGAAGAAAUGGCAAAACUAGCUCUCUUUCUGUUCCAUUGUGGAAGACAGAAAGAACCUCUUUUCUACUAGGAAAAGCCAGGGAUUUUGGAGAAUUCAGGGCAAAGGAGGAGAAGAAGGAAGAUGCUGAACUUCCUACUAAAAAUACAGCAUAAAGACAUAGAGUUGACAGUUGACACUUUGGCAGGAGCCGAAAGAUCAAAGAAGAGGACUGCAGAGAGAUGAAGACAGCAGUAAUUUGUUCUAGAUCUCUGCUCCCUGAAAGCACCUUAAAGUUCUUAGGUGGAGCUGUCAACUCACCAGUGGGAGAGACGUUGAGUUGGUGGUGGAGGCUGUGGGAAUUACCAGAAGUGGAGCUCGAGUUACACAAGUGUAAGACCCCCAUGAAGCCACCAUGAACUCGAAAGCACAUGCUUCAGAUGACAUGUCAUGGCUUCUAUUUAGUAAUAAAUGUUUGGUAAUUUUCAGCUGGACCAUUCCAUGCUGAAGGCAGAGACUCUCCCCUCCCUCCAACCAAGUCCGGUUUUAAGCUGCCAAAUGCCCAAGAGCAUUGAUUAUUCUUGGGAGGGAUGUGUGUGUGGUGUGUGUGUGUGUGUGUGUGUGUGUGUGAGAGAGAGAGAGACACAGAAAGAGAGAGAGCGAGCAAGAGAGGACUUUCUUUUUGCCCAAACAUUGCUGUUAGGUGAUCGUGAGACUAGACUGCAGCAGAAAAGAAGUUCGGAUCUAAUUUCUUCAUCUACUUUAGGAAAAACUAACAAAAUA
rnacentral:lncRNA from 1 species